rnacentral:tRNA from 1 species
GGUUAAAUGGCUGACAAUAGGUAAUAGAUUGUAAAUCUAUUUAUGAGGGUGUACCUCUUUAACCA